rnacentral:lncRNA from 1 species
CUUAAUUUCCCAAACUUGUUUGUGAUCUGUCAAAGCAGUGACUUGAAAGGAUUGUCUGACUCCUAGGGUUUUACCAUAACGAAAUUUCUGUUUCUCCUAGGAUCUUGCUCUGAAGAGCACAUAAGUCUAAAACCUUGCAUUGAGUUUCAAGGGCUUUAAAUAAUAGGGUUGUCUUAGCAAAAGAGGUGAUUUUCCUUAGGGAAGAGUCUUGUCCAGGAGAGGUUGGACUCCUGUGUCUAUCCACUUGUAUCAUUUUGUCUGAUUUAAGAUUUUAACAGUUCCCUCAAAGUGAGAUUCAUCAUAUAAAUAAGACUUUAUUUACCAAUACAUCUGAAGUGACCGAGAUGCUAAUUUCUAUUGAAUUAUC